CUCGGAUCCGUUGCAGCGGAGCCCCCAGAAGCCCAGGCUCGAGCUUCUGACAAUAAAGGCUCUUUUGCUUUUGCAUCGGAAUCAGAUCCUUGGUGGUCUUUGGGGACUUCGUGAUCUGGGCAUAACAGUAGACAUCUAAUCUUCCAGAAAAAAAAGGACAGGAUAACAUCUAAUUCAACUAAAGUGCAGGCCGUUGGGAUGCGAGGAAGUGAAAGAUACAGAGCAGAGAGGCAGGCCCAGGCAAGUGGAAAGAACGUACGGUAUCAGUAAGUAAUCAGUGGCAGGCCUUCCGAAAUUUUCCUGGAAGAAGGUGACUCCGUUAUAUGCAAAAGGUAAAUAACCUUAACUUAACACUGCAUAUGUCCACAUGAGAAAUUUUUUGGAAAAUAACCAUGAGUGGCCUCAAAAUAAGAAACUGAUAUUCCAAUCCAUAUUGAUAAUUACUGGUCCAGAAAAUGUUGACAUCUUGUAUGUCAAAACAAACAAACAAA